rnacentral:rRNA from 1 species
AAUGGCUCAUUAAAUCAGUUAUGGUUCCUUUGGUCGCUCGCUCCUCUCCUACUUGGAUAACUGUGGUAAUUCUAGAGCUAAUACAUGCCGACGGGCGCUGACCCCCCUUCCCGGGGGGGGAUGCGUGCAUUUAUCAGAUCAAAACCAACCCGGUGAGCUC